GCCAGCGCAGCACGACAGGCGGUGCGCGCUUCUCGUAAGGGCGAGGUAGGGCGUUCGAGCCGCCUCGCUGGCU
rnacentral:tRNA from 1 species